GUGGACAUCGACCGGUGCCGAAAUAAGCAAGGAAGAACUUGAAGAGCACUCAUAUUGAUAUGCUUAAUGCUCGUUUUCUGUAAAAUUAUCACCUUCCAACCCUCAUUCAUACAAUACCACCAAUAAGCCAUUGUCUAGAAUCACUUCCUAAGUGCAUAAAAAUGUAUACCUAUGGGGAACAAAGUUUGGAUCAAUAAGACUUGUCUGGAAUCACUCCACCGCUCUCUUCGCCCUCAAAUCUGUCGAGCUCUCUGCAGUCGGCCGCGUUCUCCACAUGUAAAACCCCAAACUCCUCACCUCCGAUCCGGAUUAUGAUCUUUACCCCAUCUUUGAUUUCCUUCUUAAUGAGGUUCAAUGCCCUAGAAUUCUCGUCUCCGACUUGGACCUUCAAUCUCCUCCAUUUUCACCGUGCAUGGAUUGUCGUCGAAAAUGCUGAAAGUUAGUGACGGGGAGCUCACUGCAAGGUUCAUAGAAAUGAAAUUGCAGUCGUUGACGGCUGAUCGUCGAAGAACUGUUAUGGAAAUGAUCCUACAGCUCGAUUGAUAAGACCAGGCCUUCCACACAUAAUGCAGCCCUUGACUAUCUAUAUUGGUUGGAGGGAUUCACAAGAUUGUUUCCAUCACCGGUCAGAACUACAGCUCGAUUGACAAGACCAGGCCUUCCACCAGAUUCAUUUGUUAAUGCAGCCAUUGACUAUCUAAAUUGGUUGUAGGGAUUCACAAGAUUGUUCCCUUCUUGAAUGGGAUCAUCAGUCAGAAUGUUUGCUGUUUAAACAGAGAAUACGUAGAACACACACACUCGACGCUUC